rnacentral:rRNA from 1 species
UACGGGGGGGGCAAGCGUUGUUCGGAAUUACUGGGCGUAAAGGGCUCGUAGGCGGCCAACUAAGUCGGAUGUGAAAUCCCCAGGCUUAACCUGGGAAUUGCAUCCGAUACUGGAUGGCUUGAAUCCGGGAGAGGGAUGCGGAAUUCCAGGUGUAGCGGUGAAAUGCGUAGAUAUCUGGAGGAACACCGGUGGCGAAGGCGGCAUCCUGGACCGGCAUUGACGCCUGAGGAGCGAAAGCCAGGGGAGCAAACGGGG